UACCUGCGUCAGGAUGAACGCUGCGGCGUAGCUUAACACAUGCAAGUCGAGCGAAGCACUUCAGUCUUAAGUUCUUCGGAGUGAGAGAUGAUUUGACUGAGCGGCGGACGGGUGAGUAACGCGUGGCGACCUGCCUCAUACAGGGGGAUAACAGUUAGAAAUGACUGCUAAUACGCAUAAGACCACAGUACUGCAUGGUACAGUGGUAAAAACUCCGGUGGUAUGAGAUGGGCCCGCGUCUGAUUAGCUUGUUGGCGGGGUAACGGCCCACCAAGGCGACGAUCAGUAGCCGACCUGAGAGGGUGACCGGCCACAUUGGGACUGAGACACGGCCCAAACUCCUACGGGAGGCAGCAGUGGGGAAUAUUGCACAAUGGGGGAAACCCUGAUGCAGCGACGCCGCGUGAGCGAUGAAGUAUUUCGGUAUGUAAAGCUCUAUCAGCGGGGAAGAAAAUGACGGCACCUGACUAAGAAGCCCCGGCUAACUACGUG
rnacentral:rRNA from 1 species